GGAGAAAUAGCGUUUUGGUACUCUGGAGCUGGUGUUUGAAGCCCCACCUUCCAAGUGGGAGGAGCAACUGGGUAGGUGGAGGAAGGGUAGGAGCACUAGCUAGGGUACAACAAGGGUAGCAGCAGGUGAGGAAGAGCUGGUUUGUUUUUCCCAAAGACUUCUCUCUGACUCUGCCAUGGGAAGACAAGGGUGGGCUUUGUGACAUCCAAGGUCAUUGUGGGGAUGGUUAUGAUCACCCUGACAGCAUUUGAGCACCUACCCAACUCUAGGGAUUUGAAAGUAUCUUCAGUGGCCUGUUGUCUACCCCACAGCAGUGAGAGGCUGGCCUAAGCCUGCUCUCUGCUUCCACCUAGUAUCAAGUAGUCCAUCAAUGGGGCAGUGAGUUUUAUAGGUCUUUACUAUAAGGUUCUAUUCUUGGAGCUUUAUUUCAGAUGAAGACUUGCUGCCUUAGCCAUCUCUGUGGAAAUGGGGCCAAGAAGACCUGUGGACAGGGUCUCAGAACUGUUGACAUUUCUUUCUCACUGGACCAAGGACUCUACCGACACCAAGUACCAGAUGCAGAACUGAAGCCCUAGGCUGUACCUGUAGGUCAUGGAGGAGCACCUGCUCGAACUGUUCACUAAGGCCUGAGGAAGAUGGUGGAUGCUAGAGAGAGUGGACAGCAACUGGAUGGAAAGUGGAAGACUGAUGUGCAACCCUGAGUCCUAAUCAGCUGGCUCAGAGCCCCUGUGAGCAGACAUUGUGCUAUAAAGAACCCUAAUGUAAGCAGACACUUUGUAGGGCUCUAAUAUGCUAUCCUGUGUUCCCUAUAAGUAUACACUAUACAGAAG
rnacentral:lncRNA from 1 species